GCUUCCUUAGCACAAUGGUAGUGCGUCCGGCUUGUCAGUAACCCUUUACAUCAUUUUCAUAAUAUUAUAAUACUAACCUCCAUCCAGUUAACCGGAAGGUUGCGGGUUCGACCCCCGUGGGUAGCG
rnacentral:tRNA from 1 species